rnacentral:pre_miRNA from 1 species
ACGUUUGCAAGUGUAGCAUCAUUAAGAUUCACAUAGUUCGAGCGUCUGUCUCUGCUCUAAUUUGAAGUGAGAAUCUUGAUGAUGCUGCACCAGCAAUAGG